CGCCGGCUCGAUCAGUCGCUGGUUGACAUCCCACUUCUGACACCAAAUGUUGAUUCACGUUUUUCCCUCACAUCGGUUGUAUCGACAAUAAUCGACCAGGCACCGGGUUUGCUUUAAACGUAUGUUUAUUGAGCAGGAGUCUUCACACAGGUUAACAACCUAGCAAAGAGUCAAGCUCUCUGCCCUUAAUUGCAAUGCCUUUUAUAUGUUAAUGCCACUGUUUAGCACCUCCCACAUUCCCCGAUCAAAGAACCGACACGUUGGCAGAAACAGGAA